UACGGGGGGAGCAAGCGUUGUUCGGAUUUACUGGGCGUAAAGGGCGCGUAGGCGGUCAGCACAAGUCAGUUGUGAAAUCUCCGGGCUUAACUCGGAAAGGUCAACUGAUACUGUGCGACUAGAGUGCAGAAGGGGCAACUGGAAUUCUCGGUGUAGCGGUGAAAUGCGUAGAUAUCAGGAGGAACACCGGUGGCGAAGGCGGUGAUCUGGGCCAGUACUGACGCUGAGGAGCGAAAGCGUGGGGAGCGAACAGG
rnacentral:rRNA from 1 species